rnacentral:rRNA from 1 species
UUUAGUGGCGGACUGGUGAGUAACACGUAAGCAACCUGCCUAUCAGAGGGGAAUAACAGUGAGAAAUCAUUGCUAAUACCGCAUAAGCUAGUAGUAUCGCAUGAUACAGCUAGAAAAGGAGCAAUCCGCUGAUAGAUGGGCUUGCGUCUGAUUAGCUAGUUGGUGGGGCAACGGCCUACCAAGGCGACGAUCAGUAGCCGGACUGAGAGGUUGAACGGCCACAUUGGGACUGAGAUACGGCCCAGACUCCUACGGGAGGCAGCAGUCGGGAAUAUUGCGCAAUGGAGGAAACUCUGACGCAGUGACGCCGCGUAUAGGAAGAAGGUUUUCGGAUUGUAAACUAUUGUCAUGAGGGAAGAAAUUGACAGUACCUCAGGAGGAAGCUCCGGCUAACUAUGUGCCAGCAGCCGCGGUAAUACAUAGGGAGCAAGCGUUAUCCGGAAUUAUUGGGUGUAAAGGGUGCGUAGACGGGAAUGUAAGUUGGUUGUGAAAUCCCUCGGCUUAACUGAGGAAUUGCAACCAAAACUGUAUUUCUUGAGUACUGGAGGGGAAAGUGGAAUUCCUAGUGUAGCGGUGAAAUGCGUAGAUAUUAGGAGGAACACCGGUGGCGAAGGCGACUUUCUGGACAGUAACUGACGUUGAGGCACGAAAGUGUGGGGAGCAAACAGGAUUAGAUACCCUGGUAGUCCACACUGUAAACGAUGGAUACUAGGUGUAGGGUGUAUUAAGCACUCUGUGCCGCCGCAAACGCAUUAAGUAUCCCACCUGGGGAGUACGACCGCAAGGUUGAAACUCAAAGGAAUUGACGGGGGCCCGCACAAGCAGUGGAGUAUGUGGUUUAAUUCGAAGCAACGCGAAGAACCUUACCAGGGCUUGACAUGAACAGGAAUAACUUAGAGAUAGGUUAGCUCUUCGGAGCCUGUUUACAGGUGGUGCAUGGUUGUCGUCAGCUCGUGUCGUGAGAUGUUGGGUUAAGUCCCGCAACGAGCGCAACCCCUGCUUUUAGUUGCCAGCACGUAAUGGUGGGAACUCUAGAAGGACUGCCGGUGAUAAAUCGGAGGAAGGUGGGGACGACGUCAAAUCAUCAUGCCCUUUAUGUCCUGGGCUACACACGUACUACAAUGGCCGCAACAGAGGGAAGCGAAGUAGUGAUAUGGAGCAAAACCCGAAAAACGGUCUCAGUUCGGAUUGAAGGCUGAAAUUCGCCUUCAUGAAGCUGGAAUUGCUAGUAAUGGCAGGUCAGCAUACUGCCGUGAAUACGUUCCCGGGCCUUGUACACACCGCCCGUCACACCAUGAGAGUUGGGAAUACCCGAAGCCUGUGAGCUAACUUUUAGAGGCAGCAGUCGAAGGUAGAAUCAAUGAUUGGGGUGAAGUCGUAACAAGGUAACC